CAGCAAGAAGUUAAAGAGCCACCAGGACGGGAAUGGCCCAACUAUGGCCCAGCUCUCAAACAUAGUGGAGUUCAGGACCCUGCAACACAAGAAGAAGACUUGUCAUCUCAAGAACGUCUUACUAAAGCCUCUUUAUUUUGGAUUUUGGAUUUGGUUUUGACGUGACAGACAAUCAGUUUAUAGCUUCACCCAGCAACUCUCCAUACAUCCGUCAAACCAACCAUCUGAAGCACCCUGGAUCAUCAACCAACAGCUGUCAAUUCUGGAUCAUGCUGCCAGACUUGGACACAGAGAGAAGACACACAGGGGUGAGGGAUGAACAGCGCACAACAACCCCCGACAAACACAUGCAGAGACUUCAAAGCGAAGAGGCAAAGACAGGAGACAUGUGCAUCUGACCGUCAAGUUGUCUGGGCUGACAGCAGCAGACUGCAGGAUGGAUGGAUAGAUAUGAGGCCUUUCUACUUUCUAUAUAGUAUCAGAGUCUUUCACUUGUUUAACAUUACAACUUCUGUUCUUUACUUCUAUCAGGGCUCAAAGAAUCACACGCAUAUGCUUAACACUGCACUUAAAAUUUGAGCUGUUCACAUAAUUUCUUAUCUGUCACGCACUGACCGAGAGACUGAUGCAGUUGACACUUUUCACACACUCUCAUACAACACGUCUGUUUUCUCACGCAGUGAAAGAGUGUGAGAAGAAGACAGUGACAGAACACGGACAGACAAGACAGAGCAGCACAGCACAGCAGCAGCACUAAAAACACUGAUCAAGCCAGCCACCACUGUAUUCUGAUGUACUUAUAUUCAUGCUAUUACGGUACCGGUACUUGGAGUGGUCUUGCUGAACGUUAUAAAUUAUCUGUGCUUCUGUGCUAUUUUAAUGUAUUUUUAAUGUACCAUUGACCUGCCAGGGACUGCAGAUGAAAUUUAGCCUGUAUGGCUAAAUCUGUCACAUUUACGUGACUUAAGUGAUCAUGUUCAUUAAUGUGCACUGUCCCUUUCUGAGUGAAAUAAACAAGCAUAAAACACACCAAAGAAGUCUUAAUGAGAUUUUAAACUGCUCCCAUAAUACAUUUGCUGAGAAGCACAAUGGAUUUCUGCUCAAAAUGUUCCAGACUAUGGUCAAAAGUAGUUUCACUGUACAUUGCUGCACUGGAAAAGUCAGGUCAAACAUUUAAAAUAUUCAAAAUUUUAAAUGUUUUCUUUCAGGGGUUUGUUGAUAAUUUCAAUGUAAUCUCGUUCAGGGUGAACCUGACUAUGACCAUGUAAAAUAUAAAGUUAUUUUGUACUCAUAUCAUAUUUGUUCUUGUUCUGGACCUUGUAUUUCAUGUUAAUUGUAUAUUGUGUUUUUUGUUCAUUUGUUGGGUGACACUUGUAUAUGUCUGUUUAUCCUGUUUAUCCUUGUUGUAACUUGUAACAAUGUUUAAUGCUGCCCUCUUGGCCAGGUCACUCUUGAAAAAAGAUUUUUAAUCUCAAUUAGGCUUUUACCUGGUUUAAUAAAGGAUAUAUAUACAUUGUACUGUACAGUUUUAGAGAAAAUUAAAGGGUCUUUGAUGAGAAAAUCUUGCACACUGCUCUUGCUCAGCUUCACAAUUUAUUAGGAACCUUCGUCAAGUG